GCCUGCAUGAAGCCGGAAUCGCUAGUAAUCGCGGAUCAGAAUGCCGCGGUGAAUACGUUCCCGGGUCUUGUACACACCGCCCGUCACACCAUGGGAGUCGGGAAUGCCCGAAGCCGGCGGCCUAACCGAAAGGGGGAGCCGUCGAAGGCAGGUCUGGUAACUGGGGUGAAGUCGUAACAAGGUACC
rnacentral:rRNA from 1 species